UAUGUAAUUUGUUACUUCAGUUAAACCAUCUUUACAUCAAUCCCAGUGACCAGUAUCUCAUAUUGAGGGAAAAAGUGUAAAAAGGCUAUGAAGUUCUUGUCUGUUAUAUAAUACUGUAUGCAGGAUGAUCAGUAAUCUCUCUGAUUCUUACUGCAGACUAGUUUAAAGUCUGUAAAGUAAGACUUGUCUCUGAUGUCAGUGGGAACGACUGCAUGUAAAGUAUUUGGUAAUUCUUGAAUUCUUCUCAUUUUGGGCCUAUGUAGCAAAAAAAAAAAGGGGUAGACAAUAUUUUCUGGAUUCUUGUUCUUGUCAUGAUGCUUGAUCAAAGAUUACCACUAAAUAGUAUAGACAGUUGUGUCACUGUUUGUACAUGUGUCUUUAUACAGAUUCAUUUUCAACAGCUGCUGGGCUGCUGGUCUGCUGACUGCACCUGAUGUUACUUGCAAGUUCUUACAGUCAUUUCUCAACAGACUCAAUAGCCACAGCAACCAAGUGUCAUCAGCAAUGUUAGCUAAUUCUUCCUCUUUCUCCAGGGCAUUCAUUACAACACACAUUCCCAAACAGAUCCUUGCAACAUUUUAUUGCUUAAUUCUUUUUCUUGGUUUUGAUACAGAAAAAUAAGAGAUUUUCUGCUAGAUUAGGUCAAUCCAAGCAGCAAGCUCUGGGGAGCUGUACUGUGGUAGUAGCUUGACCACCCUGACCAUGGCGUUGAUAGAACAGAAUGAGGCUCUGCAUAUCACUUAACUGCAGCACAAAGCCCUGCAAUUUACUUAAGGUGAUGAUGGAGGUAGGUUUACUCUUAUGAUAGACAGAUGAGCCCUGCAAGUCUUGCCAUGGUCACUUAAAGCAUCAUCACACCCAGCAUUACCCUGAGGGUUGCUCUGUCAGAAUUAGGGUGGUCUAACAUAGCCAUCAGAAGAGACCAUGUGCCCAUCCUUCAGCUGCCACAGUUAGUGUCUCACAUUCAGCUCAAAGCCACCUUCAGCAGCAGAGCAAAGGGCAGUAGCUCUCCACUGGAGUAAAGGGCUGUGGGUGUGAGUUGCUUUUUGCCAGUUCCCUCUCAUCAGGAGUAAUAUGUGCAGGUGGUAACACUUUAAAUCAGCACAGCAUUACUACUGAAGGAUGUUUCUGAAAGCAUUUAAAGACUGGUCUGUGCACUAGAUCACCUCCAGUUUCGGGAUAUUUUCGCUUCUGAUGGCUUUGCUCUGGUGGCAGUGGCCUCUGGAACAAGGACAGAGCAGACAAGUCAUAAUUUACAGUACAGCAGCAAGGUCCAUCAGAGUACUCUCUAAAAUGCCUUAAAAUGAAGCAAGCAUAAUGCAGAACAUUGCAGCCAAGAUCUCUGGGAUCUUAGGGCCUUGGCUUAAAGCAUACUAACAUGAAUUUUGGGGGGAUUUUUUUGGUUGCAUUGAAUUUGUCUAAAUUAAUUGAUUCUUUUUUCCUGCAAGGGAGGAGUUUUUGCCUGGAGACUGUAGAAAAUGUGCACACUCUUCUGGAGAUGGUCUUCCUGAAUGUGCAAUUACAAAAAUGCCUUCCUUUACCUAUUGAUUUUAGGAGAAGAAUGCACUUUCUGGUUUCCUUCCUUUUCCUUGAUUGCUGCUUCUCCUUCACCAUCUGCCCAACUGUCACCUUUCUGGAUUGGAAGUGCUACAGGAUCUUCCCUUCAGACCUCAUCUGCUUCAUUUUUAAGUAUUUGCUGAAGUGGUUCAAGCAGUUCUUGGCAAGAGACUACUCCCCGACCGUGUGACUUGGUGGAUUUGUGACACCUGUCUCUUGCUGUUUCAUCAUGUGUUGCAAACUUUGUCAUAUGAGGGUGGAAUUGCUGGUAGGAAGUACGGGCUUCAUUAAUGAGUUCUGUUUCACAGCUAAUCCAUGUUUACUGAUUGACGUGCAUAUGUAUUUUAGUUUCACUUGUCCCAUCUUAUAUCUCUGUUGCUAUUUUCUGUCACACUCCUACCUUUUGCAUUUUAUGUACAGAUCCAGCUGGACUAGGAGUUAGCUGUUGCUGAAAGAGGCAAACUGUCUUUCCCCUGCCCCAGCUGUAUAGCACAUUCUUAUCACUUCCCUCUUGUAUCACUCAGUUGUUUAUUAUCAAGUAAUACGUAACAAACAAACUAAUUGAUUUAAUGUUAUUGGAUCUAAAAUUAAUCUCUGAAUAUUAAUUAUAAGAAUCCAUUAUAAUUAUCAUUAUAAGAACUUUUCUGUGAAGAAAUGUGGAAUUUGAGAAAUUUUCUUCUGUGUUUUGGACUUUCUAGCAGACAGAAUACAGAUUCACUAACUGGUUUUACACAUCCCGGAGUGGCAGAGCCUGGAAGAUCCCCCUGGAGAUCAUCUAGUCCACCUUCCAGCUCAGAGGAGGGUCAGUUUGAGCAGUUGGGUUUUGAGUAUCUCCCAUGGAUGAAGACUUCACAACCCCUCUGGGUUUUUUGUUCCUAAACAUCCCAAGAUAAAAUGAAGGAACUACAAAUGCCACAACACAUAUGAGGACACCUUCUGGAUAAAUGGGUUUGCUACUGUGUGCAUUUCACUGAGAGCUCUAUUGAGAGAACAAAACCCCUGCAAAGAUCUAAGCAAGUGUUUCAUUUUAGAUAGUGAAAGCAAUUCCCCAAAGUUUUGUUGUCCAGAUAAAGACCAAGGAAGUGCAAUA